GACGAACCGUGCGAACGUUAUUCGGAAUCACUGGGCUUAAAGCGCGUGUAGGCGGGACGGCACGUCUGUCGCUGAAAUCCCCCGGCUUAACCGGAGAACUGGCGUAGAUACGACCGUCCUUGAGGGGCGUAGGGGGACCUGGAACUUCCGGUGGAGCGGUGAAAUGCGUUGAGAUCGGAAGGAACGCCCGCGGCGAAAGCGAGGUCCUGGACGCCUACUGACGCUGAGACGCGAAAGCCAGGGGAGCGAACGGG
rnacentral:rRNA from 1 species